rnacentral:misc_RNA from 1 species
GCAAGAUACAUCCACACUAAAAAAGAUGGCAGAUAAUGCUAGUAGGGUUGUUGAAGAUGAAGAAAAUGGCUAUGGAGGAAGAAAAGUCCAACCAUUUGCCUCUACACCACGGUAAGUUUCAAAUUCUUUUUCUUUUUUUUCUCCUUCUAGUUUUUGAUAGUUGCUCCUCAGUUCUUAUCAUCUGGGGAUAAACCCUUUUGUUUUUGCAGGCCAGAUAUGGACAAAACUGAAGGGAAGAAGCAUCAUCCCACUACAUUAAGCAGAAUUUUGGGCUUCGAAGACCUUUCUUCUUUACAUGUUAGUAUCUUUCUAUAUAUAUUUUUCAAAUAAGGCCAUAGAUACUUUGAUCCUUUCAAUGAUCGUAUUACUGUUGCAAUUGGCACAUUUUGUGAACUGUAAUUCUAUUACUGUUACUGAUAAUAGCAAGACCAAUGGUGCUAUCAGGUAUGGAGGGCAUCUUUAGCAGAGGCUCUUGGCACAGCAUCCCUUGUGUUUGCAAUGGAUACCAUAGUCAUCUCCUCCUACGAAACCGAAACCAAAACACCAAACCUUAUAAUGUCAGCUUUAAUCGCUAUAACUGUUACAAUUCUCCUCAAUGCAACAUUUCCCAUCUCGGGUGGACAUAUCAAUCCUGUAAUCACCUUGUCAGCUGCCUUCACAGGCCUUGUCUCUCUUUCACGGGCUGCCAUAUACAUCUUAGCACAGUGUCUCGGAGGCAUACUGGGUGCACUAGCACUAAAAGCUGUGGUAAACAGCACCAUAGAGAAAACAUUUUCACUUGGAGGUUGUACUCUAAGCAUUGUUGCACCAGGGCCACAUGGGCCUAUUGUCAUCGGCCUCGGAACAGCCCAGGCUCUUUGGCUGGAGAUAAUUUGUACAUUUGUUUUCCUUUUUUCUUCAAUCUGGGUGGCAUUUGACAAACGCCAAGCCAAACCCCUGGGAAGAGUCAUUGUUUGCAGUAUAAUUGGACUGGUUGUUGGUCUUCUUGUGUUCAUUUCUACAACAGUGACUGCAACCAGAGGUUAUGCAGGGGUUGGGAUGAACCCAGCAAGGUGUUUCGGUCCAGCAAUUAUUAGAGGUGGUCACCUGUGGAAUGGGCACUGGGUGUUUUGGGUUGGGCCUAUCAUUGCUAGUAUAGCAUUUGCUGUGUACACCAAGAUAGUUCCAAGCGCUGAGGUCCAUGCAUAAGGCGAAAAAAGCUGUCUUCGUCAAUAAAAUGAAGAGGCUUUAAAUGAUGUAAGAUGGUAUCUUUAAAAUGGCCUCAGGAUUAGGAAGGAAUGCUUGUUUAUGAUGUUACAGAAAUAAUGCCCAAUUACGCUUGCUGUUAGGCUUUCAUUUCUGGUCUUAAAAAGUGCUGAUAUUUUGCACCAGAAAGUGUCAACUUCUUUAUAAUUUAAAAUAAUUUAGGCUUGGUAGUGGAAAAUAAAUUGUACAUGAAGAAUACUUUUUAAAAAAUAUUAAUUAACAGCUUACGGAUUAACUUAAAAAAUUUUAAUU